AGAAGAAGGAUGGUUUGAGCAUACCCAAUACACAUGCCCCUUCCCAGUCCUGUGGUAACUCCGAAUAUGCAUCUUACCACAAAUCCAGUACAAAUUUGCUGGGGCUUUCCAACUAGAUGUAGCAGAUAGGUCAAACCGUACAUCCUUUAAAUUGGUAUAAUUUGCAAACGGAUUAGACGGUUCUGAGACAUUUGAAGCUGACCACCAAAUAGUAUCCUUUGUAUCGU
rnacentral:lncRNA from 1 species